rnacentral:rRNA from 1 species
AGCCAUAUCACAUUGAAACACUGGUUCCUAUACAAUCACCAAAGUUAAGCAAUGUCAAGCCUGAUCAAUACCUAGAUGGGUGACCAUUUAGGAAUACCAGGUGCUGUAAG